GUGGAUGUAGUGUAGUUGGAAACACGCCAGUCUGUGGAGCUGGAAUCAGGGGAUCGUUUCCCCUCGCCCACC
rnacentral:tRNA from 1 species